rnacentral:lncRNA from 1 species
CGACAGGAGGCCGCGCUGGUACACGUCGCCCCCUGGUGUUCCUCUGAUGUCUUCGCAGCUACUUUGAAGGAUUUUGUGCCUGCAACGGAAGCUGUUUGUUCCACACGCGGCCCCUCCCUCUCUUCCUCCCUCCCAGGGAGAGAGCUACAGGACAAAGGCUUCCUCAGCAUAUACUCCAGAGGACUGGAGGUGGAGGGGGGACGCUGUGUGGAAAAGACCACCCAGCUCAGAGAUUCCUGACCCUGUCAACAUGGAUUUCUUCACCAGGAGACUCAGACGCAGGGGAAACACAGGAAGCCUGGCUACAGCUCUGGCCCACAUACUUGGGAUGCUCCCAGGUACAUCCCCAAAUUCUAAGCCCUGACAAAACCUUCAGUGCUUAGAUGUGAAAAUGUAAAUUGCUCAUUCAGUCUACAGACACUGUUCUAGGUGCUUUCAUUUGUCUGCACGGACUCUAUUGUAACCCAGGCUGGACUCACUGUGUAGCCCAGGAUAACCCUCCUGCCUCUACCUCCCAAGUACUGGAUUACAGGCAUAUGACAUCACUCCUUGAUGUGUGUUGGUAGCUUUGGAAGCACAAUGACCAACAUGGUGGUCUUAGGUUUAUCACUCUCUGAGCCCCAGUUUCAAAUCUAAGAUUCUUAUUUUUAUUUAUGUGGAUAUGUGUGUCAGCUUGUGUGGAUAUGCAUGAGCACGUGGCUACCCCAGAGCUAUAGGCAGCCGGGCCAUCUAAUGAUAUGGAUGCUGGGAUCUAAGCUCUGGUCCUCUGGGAGAGCAACAGAUGUUUAUUAUCACCAGACCAUCUCUCCUGUCCCCAACUCCCCAAAACUUGAGGCAUAACACCCACUUCCGGGCCUAUGAUCAUGUCAUGUUUUGGAAACUUAACCCCCUCCCAAGGCACAUGGUAAUGGUAUUAUUUGAAGGCGGCAUGUUUGUGUUAUGAGGAUUCUGCCCUCCUGAAUAAAUUCAUCCUUCCAUACACUGGGGGGAGGAGGGGCUAUUGGCUUCCAGCAGAGUGGCUUUGUUGUAAAAGGUGUCUCAUGUUGCUGUGGAGGCCCUCUCCAAGUGAUGUGGGAACAAAAAAAGUUAUGUUCCUACCCCAAAGCCACACAGCACAGUGCAGUGCCAUGCCCUGAGACUUCGCAGGCUCCAAGCCCAAACCACACAAUAAUCUCCUCAUUGCAAACAACUCAGUCUAUAUUGUUCAGUUAUAGCCACAGAAAACAGCCUGAGACCUCUUUCCGGCUGUGGCAGCCUGCUCCACUCACUCCUUCUGCUUCUCCAACAUCCCUGUUUGGCACACCACCCCAUACUUCUCCAGGAGCUGCCAGGUGAGGUUGUUCCCUCCAGAUACAACAGCGAUGGCCACUGGAGCUUACAGGGUGACAAGCAACAGUUCGGAGUUACAGGAGACUCAGGAUCCACCAGGCACUGCAUUCAACUCCAUCUUCUAAACCUUCAGCUCCUGGACUUGUGUGAGGCAUAAAUGGGUCUUAGAGAUUAGCAGGAGGGGCAGGCAACACUCAACACCUAAAAGAGCAGGCCAAACCGUGAGAGACGGGGGUGGGGUGGGGGAGGGCGGGGAAGGUGUAUACUUCGAAUGUGGGUCUUGGGAAGAGAGGUCUAGAAAGAUAGGACCACAGGGCAGAGGCGCUAAGGCAGGGGGAGCUUGGCAGGUUCAAGGGUGAGAACAAAAUAUGUGAAGCCGGAGUCCAGAGAGUAGGGUAGGUGUGGAAGGUGACUCAGCAAGGAUCAGCUCCUUUAUCACUGCCCCGACUGCAUAGUCAGGAGUCUUGACGCUUGGAGUUGCCAUGGAGAUGAUAUCCAUUCCUGCCAGACACACCAGUAUCCACAUAUUGGUUCUGCUCAUGGCUCCACGGCUUAGGGUAGGACAGACUGCCUCAGAGUCUUUUAUCUUCUAACGGAAGGACGGGCUAUCUCCCUAGCCCAGACUUCUGGAAUCCCGGAGCCAAAGAAAUGUUGAAUGACAGGAAGAGGGAGUGGCUUCCUACGGAGGAGAAGGAGCUUUGAGUGUUGUGUGACAAUGUGGAGGCUUGAGAGCCCAAGGGUGUGUGUAUGGAGGAAGAGGAAGGCUGUACAGAGGAAGCCGCGGGGUCUCUCUGCUGGCCACAGCCCCUUCCUCACUAGGGGUGCCUCCUUCCAACAAGCGUGCUCCAGUCACCAACUCCGUCCCUGCACAUCUGCCCGCAGGGUGGUGGAAUACAGAAAGAUUCACCCACCCGCCAGAAGCAGAGAAGGCUCUAGGAAAGACACCUACUUCCAUUUUUCCAAUUUGGCAAAGAUCGGAAGUUUGUAGAACUGCCUGUGCUGUGGAAAUUGUGGGAAAACAGAGGUGGCUGGGGACAAGCUCCAUGGAAGGGUUCCUGUGAAAGUACAAACAUACUUUUGACUUAGAGAGUCUGUGUGUAGGUAAUUGGCUCCACGAGUUUUUUUGCAUAGCAUCUGGUGAACACCAGCCUUGCUUAUACCGCAGAAGCUUGGACAUCCUGAAUGUCUGUCACAGAGGGGAGAGCAAAUGUCUGCAUUCCUGCCGUGGGGCUAUAACUUGAAAGGACUCACAGGAAGGGCCUUCUGAACAGAGAGCCAAUCCUCUUCAAGACAUCUGGUUAAACCAGAAGGAACCAGGUGUGGUGGAGCACACCUAGCAUGUAAGAGGCUGUUCAAGGAUGGCCUUGAUUACACCCGGAAUUCAAGACCAGCCUGGGCAACCCUAAAAAAAGAGGCUGGAGAGAUGGCUCACCAGUUAAGAGGACCCAGGUUGGAUUCACAGCACACAUAUGGCAACUCACUGUAGAUGGAAGUUUCUGUCCCGCCUGGUCCCGCAGCCCUUUAGUCCCAAAUAAACACAGAGAUUUAUAUUAAUUAUAAACUGUUUGGCUGGUGGCUCAGGCUUCUUAUUGGCUAGCUCUGUCUUAAUUAUUAACCCAUUUCUAUUAAUCUGUGUAUCUCCACACAGUCUUGGCUUACCAGAGAAUGUCUGGUAUCCUAUCUUCCCAGUAGCUAUAUGGAGUCUCCCUGAUCCCACCUACUACCUUUCUCUAUCUCUGUUCAGAUUUCUUGUCUGUCUAAAUCCUGCCUGGGCAUUGGCCAAAACAGCUUUAUUCAUCAACCAAUAAGAGAAACAUAUAUUCACAGCAGACAGAAGGAUCUCCCCCAUCAUCUCACAACUAUCUACAACUCCAAUUCCAGGGGAUCUGACAUUCUCAUCCGCUUCUGGCCUCCCUGGGCACCAGGCAUGCAAGUGGCCAGCAGAGAGACUGUGGUGCUUAUUCUACCCAGCCCCGUCUCCCUCUACACACACCCAUGGACUCUUAAAUCUCUACAUUGUCACCCGUCUCCCAUACAUGGCUCCUUCCCCUCUAUAGGAAGCCUCUCCCUCUGACAUACAUGUAGGUAAAGUAACACACACACACACACACACACACACACACACACACACACACACACACUCUAAAAAGAGAAAGAAGGAAAGAAAGAAGCUGUCUAAAGGACAGUAGUAUGUGUCCAUAUGUAUAAAUAUAGGAAACAAACAGAAUUUAUGUCAGGGAUAGUAGUGCAUGCCUUUAAGGCCAGAACUCAGGAGGUAGAAGCAGGUGGAUCUCUGUGAGUUUAAGGCCUGGUCUGAAUAGUGAGACCCUGCCUCAAAUAACUGAAACAAAGAAAAAUAGCACAGAAUUUAUGUCAUGAAAGAAACAGGAAGAUGGUUUGCUUCCAGAAUGAGAAGCAGUGGAGCUGGGGGCAAGAAUGAGGAGGAGAUCUUACAAGUCUUAAUCUUAGAAUUUUAACCAAACUACAAAAUUAAAAUAAUAAUUAGCAAUAUAAUGUUAAUACUACUAUAAUAAACUGUUUUGAAAUCUGUACUCUUGAAAGUGCCAUAGCCCCACUGGUUACUUUCCUCAGCUAAGCUGUGUUCCCAUAGGCAGAACAUCCUGGAAAAGAGAAAUCGAGAUUCCAGUCCAGAUGUGGUCAAGUUCGGAUGUAGGUCCUGACUUGAUGGAUGACCUACAGUAACACUUCCAGAUAACUCCCUCUCUCCUAUGCUAGGACAGCUCCUCCCUCUGGAUCUCUCAGCUCUACUAAGCUUCCAGAGGGUGGGCCCAUGUCUUCUUGCCCCUCCCGAUCUUAAAUAAAUGUGUAUUUAAAUGAGUUCAUGUGUGUGUACACGAGUGUGUGGGUGCGUGUGUGUGUGUGUGUGUGUGAGUUCAUGAGUGUGAGUGCAAGUGUGACUGAACAUACUUACACAUGAAUGUGUAGACCAGAGGACAACCUUGACGUGUUUAUCUAAAUUGUUCUAUUAUUAAUAAAAACCCGGAAGUCCAAUAUCGGGGUUAAAAACCUGAUAGAUUACGAAAGUGGCAGAGAAGCCAGGCAGUGGUGGUACACACCUUUAAUCCCAGCACUUGGGAGUCAGAGGCAGGCAGAUCUUUGUGAGUGCAAGGCCAGCCUGGUCUAUAAAGUGAGUUCCAGGACAUGGUUCCAAAGCUAC